AUGAGGUUUACCUUCGUGAUUGCGGGUUGGCCGGGUUGUGCACAUGACUCAAGGAUCUUGAAUCAUGCAUUAGCACACUUCUCUUCAUUUCCUGUACCUCCCAAAGGAAAAUACUAUCUUGUGGACUCUGGGUAUGCAAACCGAACAGGAUAUCUUGCUCCUUUUAAGGGGAGUACAUACCAUCUACCAGAAUUUCGUCUUCGUCGUCACCGCCCACCUCAAGGGAAGUACGAGUUGUUCAACUUUUCACAUUUGUCCCUUCGCAAUGUUGUUGAGCGUGCUUGUGGGGUGCUUAAGCAGAAAUGGCGCAUAUUGAAAGGAGUCCCAAGUUUCUCACCUCGGACGCAAAAGCAUAUCAUUAUUGCUUGCAUGGCAUUGCACAACUUCAUUCGUGAUAGCAAGUUGAGUGACAAUAUUUUUGAUAAAUGUGAUGCCGAUGAUGAGUAUGUACCUCCAGUGCUAUGA
rnacentral:rRNA from 1 species